rnacentral:rRNA from 1 species
GAUGAACGCUGGCGGCGUGCCUAAUACAUGCAAGUCGAGCGAACAGACGAGGAGCUUGCUCCUCUGACGUUAGCGGCGGACGGGUGAGUAACACGUGGAUAACCUACCUAUAAGACUGGGAUAACUUCGGGAAACCGGAGCUAAUACCGGAUAAUAUAUUGAACCGCAUGGUUCAAUAGUGAAAGACGGUUUUGCUGUCACUUAUAGAUGGAUCCACGCCGCAUUAGCUAGUUGGUAAGGUAACGGCUUACCAAGGCGACGAUGCGUAGCCGACCUGAGAGGGUGAUCGGCCACACUGGAACUGAGACACGGUCCAGACUCCUACGGGAGGCAGCAGUAGGGAAUCUUCCGCAAUGGGCGAAAGCUUGACGGAGCAACGCCGCGUGAGUGAUGAAGGUCUUCGGAUCGUAAAACUCUGUUAUUAGGGAAGAACAAAUGUGUAAGUAACUAUGCACGUCUUGACGGUACCUAAUCAGAAAGCCACGGCUAACUACGUG